rnacentral:rRNA from 1 species
AUUGAACGCUGGCGGCAGGCCUAACACAUGCAAGUCGAACGAGUGGCGGACGGGUGAGUAAUGUCUGGGAACCUGCCUGAUGGAGGGGGAUAACUACUGGAAACGGUAGCUAAUACCGCAUACCAUCAGAUGUGCCCAGAUGGGAUUAGCUUGGUGGUGGGGUAACGGCUCACCAAGGCGACGAUCCCUAGCUGGUCUGAGAGGAUGACCAGCCACACGGGAACUGAGACACGGUCCAGACUCCUACGGGAGGCAGCAGUGGGGAAUAUUGCACAAUGGGCGAAAGCCUGAUGCAGCCAUGCCGCGUGUAUGAAGAAGGCCUUCGGGUUGUAAAGUACUUUCAGCGGGGAAGCGUUACCUGCAGAAGAAGCACCGGCUAACUACGUGCCAGCAGCCGCGGUAAUUC